rnacentral:rRNA from 1 species
GGGCCCGCACAAGCGGUGGAGUAUGUGGUUUAAUUCGAUGCAACGCGAAGAACCUUACCAGGGUUUGACAUCCUGCGAAUCUCUUGGAAACGAGAGAGUGCCUUCGGGAACGCAGUGACAGGUGCUGCAUGGUUGUCGUCAGCUCGUGCCGUGAGGUGUCAGGUUAAGUCCUAUAACGAGCGCAACCCCUGUUGUUAGUUGCCAGCAUUUAGUUGGGCACUCUAGAGAGACUGCCGGUGAUAAACCGGAGGAAGGUGUGGAUGACGUCAAGUCAUCAUGCCCCUUACAUCCUGGGCUACACACGUACUACAAUGCUACGGACAAAGGGCAGCAAGUUCGCGAGGACAAGCAAAUCCCAUAAACCGUGGCUCAGUUCAGAUCGUAGGCUGCAACUCGCCUACGUGAAGGCGGAAUCGCUAGUAAUCGCAGGUC